UACGAAGGGGACUAGCGUUGUUCGGAAUUACUGGGCGUAAAGCGCACGUAGGCGGAUUUGUAAGUCAGGGGUGAAAUCCCGGGGCUCAACCUCGGAACUGCCUUUGAUACUGCAAAUCUCGAGUCCGAUAGAGGUGGGUGGAAUUCCUAGUGUAGGGGUGAAAUUCGUAGAUAUUAGGAAGAACACCGGUGGCGAAGGCGGCCCACUGGAUCGGUACUGACGCUGAGGUGCGAAAGCGUGGGGAGCAAACAGG
rnacentral:rRNA from 1 species